UACCAGUGUGUUGUUUCCUCUCUGUGCUUCCUGGCUCACACUGUGAACAUUGACUUCCACUGGUGCUCUGCUUUUGUCAUCUGUUAACUUUAUCAGAGAUCAAACAAAUGGGCUGCUGAGUCUUGGAUUUGGAUCUCUAAAUUGACAUGAAAUAUAUCAUUUCAAACUCCCUGCCCUGAAACAUUUCUGCUGAGUUAUCUGCCCUUAUUGGAUGGCCACUAAAUGAACCAGACCAAGUAUGUGGAUUCAGGACCAUGUCAUGACCCCAGAGGAGGAACGGGCCCAGCCUUGAGUUCCAGGAGACAGGACUCCAUGGGCAGCGGGCCCGGCACCACAGCCUGCAGCUGGCACCGUGUCACCAAGAGUGGAGCCCAGUGGCAGUCAUGUUCUCCGUCACUCAGAGCCUAGCCCAAGGCACCAAAGGCAGCUUGCAGAGGACACUGAGCAUGUGUGUUGGCCCAUGCAGUGGAGGGAAUCACCAAUCCAGGGCCACCGCCAUUUCUUCUCUGAGCAGAGAAAUAAUUACCAGGGAUCCUGUACUCACUCUUUCCAGAGGUAUGGAGGGAGGAUUAAAAUCAUGUACUAGAGAGUUAAAGUUGGGAAAUGAAAUUUGAAAGAGUAAAUGAC